AAAUGGAGAGUAACCGCCCUCCCUAAGACU
rnacentral:tRNA from 1 species